rnacentral:rRNA from 1 species
CUCCUACGGGAGGCAGCAGUCGGGAAUAUUGCACAAUGGAGGAAACUCUGAUGCAGUGACACCGCGUAUAGGAAGAAGGUUUUCGGAUUGUAAACUAUUUUAGACAGGGAAGAAAAAAGACAGUACCUGUAGAAUAAGCUCCGGCUAACUACGUGCCAGCAGCCGCGGUAAUACGUAGGGAGCAAGCGUUAUCCGGAAUUAUUGGGUUUAAAGGGUGCGUAGGCGGACUGUCAAGUCAGCGGUAAAAUACGGGGGCUCAACCUCCGCCCGCCGUUGAAACUGACGGUCUUGAGUGGGCGAGAAGU